CCUACGGUGAGCAGCAGUGAGGAAUAUUGGUCAAUGGGCGCGAGCCUGAACCAGCCAAGUAGCGUGAAGGAUGACUGCCCUACGGGUUGUAAACUUCUUUUAUAUAGGAAUAAAGUGAGGCACGUGUGCCUUUUUGUAUGUACUUUAUGAAUAAGGAUCGGCUAACUCCGGGCCAGCAGCCGCGGUAAUACGGAGGAGCCGAGCGUUAUCCGGAUUUAUUGGGGUUAAAGGGAGCGUAGUUGGGUUGUUAAGUCAGUUGUGAAAGUUUGCGGCUCAACCGUAAAAUUGCAAUUGAUACUGGCAGUCUUGAGUACAGUAGAGGUAGGCGGAAUUCGUGGUGUAGCGGUGAAAUGCUUAGAUAUCACGAAGAACUCUGAUUGCGAAGGCAGGUUACUAAACUGCCACUGACAUUGAGGCUCGAAGGUGUGGGUAUCAAACAGGAUUAGAUACCCCGGUAGUC
rnacentral:rRNA from 1 species